UGAACAUUUUGUUAAAGUUAAAAUUAAUCAUCAAGUUAUGAUUUCGUCAAUGGAAUUGAAGACUCGAUGGAAGGGCGUGGAACUUAAGAAGAAACAGGUUUCUAUUCGCGGAGGUUUCUAUUUACCGGCCGUCGACUCCAUGGUCGAUGCUCCGAUAAUCUGGUUCAACGACUUUCUUCUUCGCAUACAAAACAAGUUAUGGCUAUUUCUUUGACUUCCUUGUGUGUGCGCGCGCACAUGCGGAUUACAUCACAUUCCUGUAAUCGCAUGCUCACCAAGUUUUUUCGCUGGAAAGACGCCAUGAUGCAUAAAAACGUAUCAAGAGAAAUACAUUUGCAGUUUUCUUUACGUCACAAAGAAUUCUCCGUCACUUAGAUUAUUCUGAGAUCGUGAUCUGUAACGAAAACAACGGUUGAAGACAAAGAUUGAAGGAAAAAAAAAUCAAAAAAAGAAAGAGAUAGUACUUAAUCGCAUUAAAUGCACAUUAUAUGUAGUGAAGAAAAGAGUAGCGAUAUAACAGGUGUCUUACACAGGAAGCACAUUGAUAUUGUCAAGCUCCUUAAGAAUAUACUGCCAUAAAAAUUCAUUCGUUUCUAGCAGGCAUAAAGAAGGGCUUGGUAGAAUAGAGGAACAAUGACCUUGAAGAGUAGGGUUGUCCAACGGUGAAAAUCCGGUCGUCCUGAGACAAGAGGGAGCAGGCUGCUGCUAAAUCUGGAACUCGACUGGAUGUUCUAUUAAAUAGAACUGCGAUAUCUUCAAAAAAUCUCAUGCACAAACUAUAUUCUAUAAUUUCAAUUUAGUUCAAAAUAAAAAAUAUCUGAAAAUAUACAAUAA